AAUCAACGCUGGCGGCGCGCUUAACACAUGCAAGUCGAACGAGAAAGGGGAGCAAUCCCUGAGUACAGUGGCGUACGGGUGAGUAACACGUGGAUGAUCUAUCUCUUAGUGGGGAAUAACUCUGGGAAACCGGAGAUAAUACCGCAUAAGCUCGAGAGAGGAAAGCAGCAAUGCGCUGAGAGAGGAGUCCGCGGCCGAUUAGCUAGUUGGCAGGGAAAAGCCUACCAAGGCAGAGAUCGGUAGCCGGCCUGAGAGGGCACACGGCCACACUGGCACUGAAACACGGGCCAGACUCCUACGGGAGGCAGCAGUGGGAAUCUUGCACAAUGGGGGAAACCCUGAUGCAGCGACGCCGCGUGAGCGAUGAA
rnacentral:rRNA from 1 species